UACAGAGGUGGCAAGCGUUGUUCGGAAUUACUGGGCGUAAAGGGCGCGUAGGCGGCCUCGCAAGUCCCGUGUGAAAUCCCUCGGCUCAACUGAGGAAUGGCACGGGAAACUGCGGGGCUUGAGUUCGGGAGAGGGAAGCGGAAUUCCGGGUGUGAGCGGUGAAAUGCGUAGAUAUCCGGAGGAACACCGGUGGCGAAGGCGGCUUCCUGGACCGAUACUGACGCUGAGGCGCGAAAGCUAGGGGAGCAAACGGG
rnacentral:rRNA from 1 species